rnacentral:rRNA from 1 species
AGUCGAGGGGCAGCAUAUAGAUUGCUUGCAAUUUAUGGUGGCGACCGGCGCACGGGUGAGUAACGCGUAUCCAACCUACCCAUUACUAGGGAAUAACCCAGCGAAAGUUGGCCUAAUGCCCUAUGUAGUCGUUUGAUCGCCUGAGAUUUCGACGAAAGAUUUAUCGGUAUUGGAUGGGGAUGCGUCUGAUUAGCUUGUUGGCGGGGUAAAGGCCCACCAAGGCAACGAUCAGUAGGGGUUCUGAGAGGAAGGUCCCCCACAUUGGAACUGAGACACGGUCCAAACUCCUACGGGAGGCAGCAGUGAGGAAUAUUGGUCAAUGGGCGAGAGCCUGAACCAGCCAAGUAGCGUGCAGGAUGACGGCCCUAUGGGUUGUAAACUGCUUUUAUAUGGGAAUAAAGUGAGGGACGUGUCCCUUAUUGCAUGUACCAUACGAAUAAGGACCGGCUAAUUCCGUGCCAGCAGCCGCGGUAAUACGGAAGGUCCAGGCGUUAUCCGGAUUUAUUGGGUUUAAAGGGAGCGUAGGCUGUUUGUUAAGCGUGUUGUGAAAUGUAGGAGCUCAACUUUUAGAUUGCAGCGCGAACUGGCAGACUUGAGUGCGCACAACGUAGGCGGAAUUCAUGGUGUAGCGGUGAAAUGCUUAGAUAUCAUGACGAACUCCGAUUGCGAAGGCAGCUUACGGGAGCGCAACUGACGCU